rnacentral:lncRNA from 1 species
UUUUUUUUUUUUUUUUUUUUUUUUUUUUUGUCUUUUGUCUUUUUGUCUGUUGUUGUUGUUGAUGUUGUUGUUGCUAUUUCUUGGGCCGCUCCCGCGGCAUAUGGAGGUUCCCAGGCUAGGGGUUGAAUCAGAGCUGUAGCCACCGGCCUACGCCAGAGCCACAGCAACGCUGGAUCCGAGCCGCGUCUGCAACCUACACCACAGCUCACGGCAACGCCGGAUCGUUAACCCACUGAGCAAGGGCAGGGACCGAACCCGCAACCUCAUGGUUCCUAGUCGGAUUCGUUAACCACUGCGCCACGACGGGAACUCCAAGCUGGUUUAUCUUUAGAAGAGAAUAAAUCUGAGAGCCAUUUUGCACAUUCCCCCAGAGUGCCCAAGUUAUGAGUGCCCUUCCUAGGUAUUUAUUGGCAACCUACCCUUCCCUAAUUCGCUUCCUUAAUCAAUUACCUACUGGUGUACAACUAAUUGUCCUCAAAAACAUGUAUUUAUAAUCUUUUAGAGGACCUCAGACCUACAUAAGGGUAUAUAAAACAACCCAUAAUUAUUCUUAAAUUGUUGUCUACUUAUUUAUUGUUUGUGUUUUUCUACUAGAAUAGAAACUGUGUGAGGGAAGAGAUCCUGCUUCUCUGACUUGAUUGCAUUCUUCCAAGCAACUAGAAAAAUCCUUGCAAUGAUCUCAGUGCUUCACAAAAUUCUUAUUGAAUCAGGGAGUGAACACACAAUAAAUAGUUGUAUUUUUAUUGUGGUUUCUCUUAAUAUUCUAUAUCUUCUCAUCUUUCCUUUCUGUUUCUUAAAAUGAGGAAAGACACAAUUCACACUGAGCUGAAAAUGGCCCACGUUAAAGCAUGAAUGAUUCACCGGCUUUUGCUUCCUUCAGCUUUUAAAGGUUCCUUUUAGAGCCCCCAAAUCUUUUAUUUCAGAGUGAGAGAAUUCUUUUAUCUUCAAGAAUAAUCCCUGGCAAAGAUUUUUCAAUGCCAACCUAAAAAUCACAGCUUGAUGGAGAUACAAAGGACAAUUUUUCCUCCAAAGACAUCUCAGCACUUGUGAAAAACAUUGUUUUAUCUCAUUAGAGACUGAUUAUGUCUACAUGAUAAAAGCUGUGUAAUCAAAAUUCAUGAUCUCUUCCGUAAAAGGCAAAACUAUGGGGAUGGAGAACAGAACACCAUUGCUGGGCUGAGAGUUGGGGGUGACGACUACAAAGGACACUGUGGGGAAGUUUCUUUGUCUUCAUUAGAUGACAAGACUCUAUGCGCUUCGGAGGAUUCAUACAACUGCACAUCAAAAUAAGUGAAUUUUACUCAAUGUGUGUUAAAAUAUCAUCCAUAAUAUUUUGUCACCCUCGAUGUUGAAGUCUCCUAAUCAGUUUGAAAAAAAAAACUGUAUGCAUAUUUUUAUCUAGGUCAACUUAAUGAAAUUUAUCAGAUUUAGAAGAUAGCAGAAAGCCUUAUUAUUUAUGAAAAGGAAUUUUGAGUAUUGUCUGUAUUUAGUGCCAUCAUUACUGUGAGUAUCUUAAACUGUACUGAAUAUAUUUUCUCUCAUUUUGAUCCUUUGCCUCUCACUGUACCUAAUGUUAUUGAGGAUUACAAGGUCACAACAGCCAAACAAUCCUAACAGUUCCAACAGUUGAAGAGUAUUCAGCUUUUUUUUCAGCUUCAUUUCUCUUCUAAGAAUUAGUUUUUCCUAACAUCAUGCCAGAAGGUUAGAGAUGUUCUGAAACCAACCUUGAGUGAUUUAUGUCUAUCCCUAUAUCUCUGAUUUUUCUUUUUCUACCUUUCAUCUUUCUCAGAUUUUUAAAGCAGUCACAAAAUUCCUGAGGUAUCACUUCAAGCAAAACUCAAGAGAAAGUCACUUAAAAAACAAAAAAAACCCUGUUCAACUAAGAUAUGCUUAGAAGCACCUUACAGUUUUUAAAUGGAAUUAUAACAGAUCCCAAGGGGACACAUGGGUAUUUAGCUGUUAAGGCCAAUAAGGAUUGCAGCUUUUGGUUGUACUAAUAAGGGUGACUUCUAAUAAGAGACAUCAUUAAAACUAAAUAUUUAGAUCUGACGCAUAUUUAAACUCAACUUUUAUUUCUAUGAUAAUCCUUUAAUUUUGGAGUUAGAGGAUUUCCAUAAGCUAGUGUUCUCUAACAGAUAGGAAAUACUUGGGAUAACUGCUGCUGAAACUGUGUCACACAAAUAUGCUGUAUAUUUAACUUUACCUAGAUCUUUUCCUGAUAACAGGUUUUCAGUAAUUUCUAAAUUUAUCAGUAGUGUUUCAGUUAACCAUUGCAACGUAAAAACAGUCUCACAUUUAGUGGGUCACAACAAUAGCACUGUAAUAUUUAAUGAUUUCUUGGCUUGGUAGAUUUUUGCUGGUUUCACCUGGGGGUACUCCUGUGACUGUGCAGAUGAAGAGCGGCUGGGCUGCAAGGUCCCUCACAAAUCUGACAUGAGUGCUGAAGGUCCCCUAGGGAUACCCUCAAUUCCUCAUGAAGCCUCUCAUUUUCUAGCAGUCCAGGUUGCCAUCCUUAGAUGGCAGUUUCAGGUUGGCAUUCAGAGAUGGUAGAGGCAGAAGCCAUGGUACCUCUCGCAGACUAAGCUUUGCAUCGUACACAAGGUUGUUUCUGUCACAGUCUUGUUCAGGCAGGUCUUGAGGGCAUUUUAACAGAAGAGUUGGGCCUGUACAUUCCCCUUCUUGAAAGAAGCUGCUGCCAAAUAUUGUGACCAUGCUUUCAAUCAGAUGACCUCAGAUGUCAGUAUGAGCCCAGAGCCUCGGUGUCACCAGUACUAACUGGUAUGAAAGGUAGUCUUUUGUAUCUUCCAAAUCAUUGUUAUUGGCCAUCUACUUACAUGGUUAUUGCCGUAAUUUACUUUGAUCAAAAUAACCUGACUCUGUCUCUCAAUGUAACUUUUUGAUUAAAUCAGCAAAUGCGUUUAAGGCAUUACUACUUUGUAAGUUUUUUUUUUAAAUUAAACUAUAGUUGAUGUACAAUGUUACUGUACCAGUUGUUGCUGUGCAGCAAAGGGACUCAUUCAUCCAUAUGUAUACAUUCUUUCUUUAUAUUCUUUUCCAUCUUGGUCUAUCCCAGGAGAUUGGAUAUAGUCCCCUGUGCUCUACAGUAGAACUUUGUUGUUAUAGGCAUUCCCACUUUUAAAUAUUUCAUCGUGAUACUCUUUCUGGCUGAGACUAUUACUGCUAUUUACUGUUCUACUUAAAUGGUAUUUUGUGACAGACACUUGAUGUAGAAAACAUACUAAUGGCCCUGAAAGAUGCAUACCAUUAUUUGUAUUUCACAGUUAAGGAAACUGAGGACUGGCAGUGUUAAGGAACAUUCCAGAUUGGCAUGCAUAGGGGUCUUUGUGUCCUAUAGGUCUGUGCUUCACAAAAUAAUACAAAAUGUACUGUCACACCAUUCAUAAAAAUAUUGUUUUCACAGAUUGAUCUCACUAGUCUCCAAUUUAAUAGAAUCACUAUAAACACAAAUAUUACCUUAAUGUUGAUGCCUCACUUUAUUUUAAUUAUGCAUCAUGGUAUUCAUACCUACAGAUCAAUUGAGUAACCCUUUGCAUAAUGGAUCUUGGGACCAGAAGGUUAAUUCCUCAUAAGCCUGAAUUUUUCCAGUGGGGUGACCAAGAGGAGCACUUCUUGUUGGGUGGUCCUUGAAAGCCAGGCAGAGCAGAGGCAGACUCAAAGACUCCAACUUAGAGGCCACAGAGUUGGCAGGAAGGCAGGAUUGAAACCAAAGAGACAGAAGGGAAGCCAAAUCAAGAGCCAAAGACCUGGGAAGACUGGAUUAAAGGAGGAAAAAAAAAAAAAAAAACAUUUUGGAAGGAUAUCUAGAUGUUAAGGUAAUUAGUAGAAACCCUAAAAAGGCAGAUAUUUAAGCCAUAUUAUGUAUUGGGAAGUUCAGGAAAGUAUGAACUCCAAAGUUUUUCAUACUUCUCUUUUGAGAGCAGUUGUUUGUUCUUUUUAGAUGGUAUAUUAAUAUUUCUUCAAUAUAUAUGUGGAAAACAUGUUAGAAAACUGGUUGUCAUUAUCAUGUGUUAAAUUCCCAAACUUGGUUACAAGGGCAGUGCUGAGAGUACACCUAUUUUAGUGCCACAUCUUUGGACAGCGAUGAAACUGCAAGACCAUUUUCUCGUUUUAAUCAGAUGUUUGUGAUUUCAGAAGCAUAAUUCUGAAGCACUUAUAACCUGAGAGUGUGAACUUCUCAAAUACAUUGCAUACAUAUGUAUGUACAUAUGUACAUAGGUAUAUAUAUUUGUAGAUCAACAUAUUUUUCUCUCUCUGUAUGUACAUGUGUAUAUAUUCACACAAAUAUAUGUAUAUAUACACAUACACACCUGUAACCUCUUUCCACCUUUAUAUGUAUAUGAUUGAAACGAAAGCCCUAAGGCAACUUUGGCAAAAAGCCCUGAGAAAUGUGGAAAAACUAAUUUCUGUUGGCUUUCUGAUGACACCAUUCUCCUCAGUGUUCGCCUGGGAUAGAAGAUGGCAGUUUGCAGUCCAGGACAGGAUCUUCGGCAGCAUCAAGAAGGUUUGAUUGCAUCACAUGUCUCAGGAAGGGAGUCAGGGCUCCCUCUUCACUGAGCAAAGGUUAACCCAUUUCCAUGUGCUCUGGGUGGUUUCAGAAUGAAACUUAAGGUCACAAGACAUUCUCAGGUAUUCUUCUGAAUUCAUCUUCUAUCCCCUGUGCUGGGAGUUCUUCUUCCUUGGAAGACAGAGACUCCUUGGUGAGACAAGAGCAAGCUUUGAUGUGUGCCAGAACAGAAAGUGCCACUCUUCUUUCCAGCACCCUACCCUCUCCCUCCUUCAUUGAAUCAGAAUGCUGCUGUCUUCCUUUAUGUUAGAGUAAAAGUGUCCUAAAUGAGUGGGGUAUUUAAACACUAGGUAGGUGUAAAUACAUUUAAAAUGCAAGAUGUUAAAUCUUAGGAGAUGGUAAAUCUUCUUGCACACUGGAGAGGAUAUACAUUAAAAUAAAACUCUUAAAUCAUGUGUGUUUUAAAUGGUUCUUCUAGGGAUUUUGCUUUGUUCUUGUUUAGCCAAAAAAUGAACCUAUAAUUUUCUAUUGCUCAUAGGUCAAGAAUUAGAAACCUAUCUCUGCUUGACUGUAGUAGUUUGUGAAAUGGAAAGCACACAUAC